rnacentral:misc_RNA from 1 species
CAUUGUCGUAACCUGCGAAAGCAAAGCAACUCGCGAACACGUAGCUAACAAUCGGGGAUCCAAGYGYGUCUCCCCCGGGGGACRCCCUUUCUUCCCAACGUCGGGACGGCUCGUUGCGAGUUAACGACCUCCGGGCCUUCCCGAUGCAACAAAAAACCGGCGCGAAAUGCGCCAAGGAACAUGAAAGAGAGUGCGCUCUUCCGGGGUCAGCUCGCGCUGUGCUCGGACGGGCGUCGUCUUCUUGAUGAGUUUAUAAUGACUCUCGGCAACGGAUAUCUCGGCUCUUACAUCGAUGAAGAACGUAGCAAAAUGCGAUACUUGGUGUGAAUUGCAGAAUCCCGUGAACCAUCGAGUCUUUGAACGCAAGUUGCGCCCGAAUCCAUCUGGUCGAGGGCACGUCUGCCUGGGUGUCACGUACACGCGUCUCCCGCGAACCUYCCCCUUUCGAGGAYGAAGGGUCUCGYGGGAGCAGAUAUUGGUAUCCCGUGCCCGUUUCGCGCGGUUUGCCUAAAAACGGAGAGCCUGUGACGAAACGUCACGCCUAGCGGUGGUUAACAAGGCCUAACGGCCGACCAGUUCGUGGCGUGCGCGUCUGUCGCAAGGAAGUCUCARACGACACCUUGAAYGUCCCCUAACGGGGCGUGCUACUGUCGCGACCCC